GGACUACAGGGGUAUCUAAUCCCAUUCGCUCCCCUGGCUUUCGUUCCUCAGUGUCAGUUAUGGCCCAGUCAGUCGCUUACGCCACCGGUGUUCUUCCAAAUAUCUACGCAUUUCACCGCUACACUUGGAAUUCCACUGACCUCUACCAUACUCCAGUCUGCCAGUAUCCAAUGCAGUCCCGAGGUUGAGCCCCGGUCUUUAACAUCAGACUUAACAAACCACCUACGAACUCUUUACGCCCAAUAAAUCCGGACAACGCUCGCAUCCUACGUCUUACCGCGGCUGCUGGCAC
rnacentral:rRNA from 1 species